rnacentral:misc_RNA from 1 species
GAUGAAGAACGUAGCGAAAUGCGAUACGUAAUGUGAAUUGCAAAUUCAGUGAAUCAUCGAGUCUUUGAACGCACAUUGCGCCCCCUGGUACUCCGGGGGGCAUGCCUGUCCGAGCGUCAUUGCUGCCCUCAAGCACGGCUUGUGUGUUGGGCCCCGUCCUCCGAUUCCGGGGGACGGGCCCGAAAGGCAGCGGCGGCACCGCGUCCGGUCCUCGAGCGUAUGGGGCUUUGUCACCCGCUCUGUAGGCCCGGCCGGCGCUUGCCGAUCAACCCAAAUUUUUAUCCAGGUUGACCUCGGAUCAGGUAGGGAUACCCGCUGAACUUAAGCAUAUCAAUAAGCGGAGGA